GAGUGAGUGAGUGAGUGAGAGAGAGAGAGAGAGAGAGAGAGAGAGAGAGAGAGAGAGAGAGAGAGAGAGAGAGAGAGAGAGAGAGAGAGAGAGAGAGAGAGAGAGAGAGAGAGAGAGAGAGAGAGAGAGAAAUAGGCUGUGUGUAUCGUGAAGAGGCUGUGUAUUUAGGAGAAUCCAUAGUCCUCACAAGGAUAAGAGAAGAAAGAAGAAGACCGCAAGCUUUCAUUUUUCUCCUCAUUAUUCCGCAUCCUACCGGAGGCUUUUGUGUCUUAUUGUUUUUGGUCCUUCUCCCUCUCCAUCCUUCCUUCCUUCACCACGGAAGGAGGAACAGCACAGCAGCACAGCCGGUGGUGGAAGUUGACACUGUAGUGUGGGUGUUGAGCUGAGAGGCCCUGGUUGAUGCUGUGAAAGAGCUCUGUAAGGACAAACACAAGCACAGGUUGCAGCCAUGGGGAACCUCAUUAAGGUCCUUGGCAAGGAUUUAGAAAACUGUCCACAUUUUUUCCUGGACUUCGAAAAUGCCCAGCCUACGGAGGCAGAGACGGCGGUAUGGAACCAGGUCAGUGCUGUCCUGGAGGAGGCCCACGGUAUCCUGGCCGAACUACAGUCAUACAACGGGGCGGGACAGGAGAUACGAGAGGCCAUCCAGAACCCAGGUGAUCUGCAGCUACAGGAGAAGGCCUGGAACGCAGUCUGCCCCCUGGUGGCCAAGCUCAAACGCUUCUACGAGUUCUCCCUCCGACUGGAGAAUGCCCUGCGUAGCCUGUUGGAGGCGCUGACGAGCCCUCCCUACGCUCCCAUGCAGCACCUAGAGAGAGAACAGGCUCUGGCCAAACAGUUCGCUGAGAUACUCCACUUCACCCUCAGCUUCGACGAACUAAAGAUGACAAACCCAGCCAUUCAGAUGACAUCAGCUACUACAGGAGAACCAUCAGUAGAAACAGGCUGAACAACCAGCAGUUGGAGGCGGAGAACGAGGUGAACAACGAGAUGGCCAAUCGGAUGUCUCUGUUCUACGCCGAGGCCACACCCAUGCUGAAGACCCUGAGUAAUGCCACCACCAAGUUUGUGUCAGAGAAUAAGACCUUACCCAUUGAAGACACCACAGACUGCCUGAGCACCAUGGCCUGUGUGUGUCGCGUCAUGCUGGAGACCCCUGAGUACCGUUGUAGGUUCACCAACACAGACACCGUGUUGUUCUGUAUGAGGGUGAUGGUGGGAGUAAUCAUCCUGUACGACCAUGUCCACCCUGUAGGAGCCUUCGCCAAGACAUCCAAAAUAGACAUGAAGGGCUGCAUCAAGGUGCUGAAAGAACAGCCUUCCAACAGCGUGGAGGGGCUAUUGAACGCACUGAGGUAUACAACCCGACAUCUAAACGACGACAGCACCUCUAAACAAAUCAGGGCUCUUCUUCAAUGAAAGAUGGAAGAGAGGCGAGUGUGAAGGAAGGAGAGAGAGAGAGAGAGAGAGAGAGAGAGAGAGAGAGAGUGUGCACACAGAGGGAGGAGAAGUAAAAACGAAGGAGAACAAACUGUGUUGGCUGAAUCCUGUUUGUUUACAUGAAUGAAAAGCUAAAUGAUCAGGUCUGAUAAAAACCUAGUGAGAAGAAGUUUAUGUAUUGUCCAUCGUUCUGUCUCUCAUUUUGUAAAAAAAAAAAAAGAAAAUGAAGGAAAAUAAUCUAUAGAGAUAUAUAUUAAAGAAAGAAAAAAAAACUAAACAAGUGUUACCAGAUUUCUAAUAAGACUAAAGAGGAAGAACAACAAGGAAAAAGCUACGUUAGAAAAAUACACGGUCAAAAAAUAAAAACUGAAGCAAAAAAAUUUAAAUAAACAAAAAGUUUCAUAUUCCGUACAACAACGUUAGUCUGAAGAAUAUUUUUGCAUUCACGUAGAAUAUAAACAGCGCCGUCUGUCAGUCUCCACCUAGUCGCUGGAAAGAUUUAAACCAGGCUCCAUUAAAAACUGUAAAGAAUAGACUGGGAUUGACAAAACGGCCUGAUUCCAAACCAAUGGCUUAUCCUCCUCCAAAAAUCCUCGUUGACUCCCCUUGAUCUAAAAUGACUUUGAGUUGGGAGCAUUGUGGGGGAAACACUUCAUAACAUACCACAAGGCUAAUGGGAGCUUUAACCAUAUUGCUGAUACCAAUCCAAACAAUUUGUCAGAUUGUCAACAAGGUCCUAGGGUUCGGGAAGAGGUAUUGGUUUGGGACCAGGCCCCUGUGUAGAUUAUAAUCAGUCACUGCAUUGAGGGUCCAUCCCAAUAGUUUGAAGGGGCUUCCUCUUCUCCUCGUCUCCUCUCCUUGUCUCCUCUUCUCCAUUUACACUGAACUGACAACACAGGCGUUAUUAAGUAAAUAUUGCAGCUGAAAAAAAGGGGACGAGGAGACAAGGAGGGGAAGCUAUUUUACUGUAUUCACAUACACCCAGACACUGCUCAUUACACACCCACUCCGACCCUCUCCCCUCCCACCACCCACCACCCACUUGAAUCGUAACCACGGAAACUGUGGGAGUUUUUGGCACUAGUACGUUAUGUUAUGCCGUAAAUGGAGUUUGAAGAUUUUGGUGAUUCAGCCCUCUCUUUAUGGUGCUAAAACGUUUAACUAUCGACAUAAAACCUCACACAACGUUUCAUACAUCUAGUGCCAAAGCUACCGCAUCAUCAGCAGGUGAGGAGGGGGUUAAAGGAGAUACCGACGGCUAGCCUUGUACCACUGCUUGAUAUCUAUCUUUAGGGGGUUAAAGGAGAUACCGACGGCUAGCCUUGUACCACUGCUUGAUAUCUAUCUUUAGGGGGUUAAAGGAGAUACCGACGGCUAGCCUUGUACCACUGCUAGAUAUCUAUCUUUAGGGGGUUAAAGGAGAUAGUGACUGACUCCUAGAUAUCUAUCUUUAGGGGGUUAAGGAGAUAGUUACUGACUCCUAGAUAUCUAUCUUUAGGGGGUUAAGGAGAUAGUUACUGACUCCUAGAUAUCUAUCUUUAGGGGGUUAAGGAGAUAGUUACUGACUCCUAGAUAUCUAUCUUUAGGGGGUUAAGGAGAUAGUGACUGACUCCUAGAUAUCUAUCUUUAGGGGGUUAAGGAGAUAGUGACUGACUCCUAGAUAUCUAUCUUUAGGGGGUUAAAGGAGAUAGUGACUGACUCCUAGAUAUCUAUCUUUAGGGGGUUAAAGGAGACACUGACGGCUAGCCUUGUACCACUGCUUGAUAUCUAUCUUUAGGGGGUUAAGGAGAUAGUGACUGACUCCUAGAUAUCUAUCUUUGGGGGGUUAAAGGAGAUAGUGACUGACUCCUAGAUAUCUAUCUUUAGGGGGUUAAAGGAGACACCGGCGGCUAGCCUUGUACCACUGCUAGAUAUCUAUCUUUAGGGGGUCCAAAAGGCUCCAGGACAUCACAGUCUACUGCUCCAAUCCCUACAUAGCCAACCAGCCAUCAGUAAACCAUAUUCUGUACCUUGUGAAAUCUUGGAUGUGCCAUCUUGGAUUUUUUUGGUGGAAUACUCUAUUGAAGCAUAAAGAGAAGGGCAGAGACUUUCAGGGAGGGACAAAGACCUUAUCAUUAACAAGAGGAUAUAUAAACACACACAUAUGCACACAGGCACAGUCAGAGUCGCAGUGUAAAUAAGUGAGCGAGCUGAGUAUUUUCUCAUCAGGCAACUACAAGGCCAGCUCUGGUCCUCCAGGAUAUAGAACACACAACAACAAUAACAAAUGUGCUUCUGUUCCACUAGAAAUGUCUUCUUUUAGUAUGAGGCAAAUAAAAAAAAUGUUGUUGAUAAAGUGGGUAUUGAAAAUAAAGAAGUUGAAAAAGGAGAUUUUAAAAAAAAUGCAGAGCUGUACUUUCCAUGUCUAUAGACCUUAGUCUGACUUCAGUUGAUCUCAUAAUAUAUUUUCUAUACAGGGGUAUGUGGUAGGAACAUAUUCUGUAUAAAUAUAUAGAUGGCAUGUUGUAAAGUUCUAACAUAAAAUGUGUACAUAAAAGGUGUUUUUAUUCCUUUUUAAUUGUUCAGUGAAGCUGAAAUUGGGUGUGUUGUCUCUCUCAGAAAUACCAUGGCUUGGCUUGGACCAUUGGACUUGCUGUAGUGAGUCAUAGGUUUAAAAAAAAUUAAAUUAAAAUAAAAACUCAUCUUGGCGAAUGAAACGGCGGGAGGGGCGGGACUAGGGGUGAGCUGUCCAUUUGCUUGUUAUUUUGUACAUUUUGUGCAACAAUAAAACUUGUCCAUUUAUUACAUUCAA